AACGAACGCUGGCGGCAUGCCUAACACAUGCAAGUCGAACGAACCCUUCGGGGUGAGUGGCGCACGGGUGCGUAACACGUGGGAACCUGCCCUUAGGUUCGGAAUAACACAGAGAAAUUUGUGCUAAUACCGGAUAAUGUCUUCGGACCAAAGAUUUAUCGCCUUUGGAUGGGCCCGCGUAGGAUUAGCUAGUUGGUGAGGUAAAGGCUCACCAAGGCGACGAUCCUUAGCUGGUCUUAGAGGAUGAUCAGCCACACUGGGACUGAGACACGGCCCAGACUCCUACGGGAGGCAGCAGUGGGGAAUAUUGGACAAUGGGCGAAAGCCUGAUCCAGCAGUGCCGCGUGAGUGAUGAAGGCCUUAGGGUUGUAAAGCUCUUUUACUGGGGAUGAUAAUGACAGAACCCAGAGAAUAAGCCCCGGCUGACUCCGUGCCAGCCGCCGCAGUAAGAC
rnacentral:rRNA from 1 species